rnacentral:rRNA from 1 species
GAGGCGGAGCGAAUCCCAAAGGCGUCUCAGUUCGGACUGCAGGCUGCAACUCGCCUGCACGAAGUUGGAAUUGCUAGUAAUCGUGGAUCAGCAUGCCACGGUGAAUACGUUCCCGGGUCUUGUACACACCGCCCGUCACACCAUGGGAGCCGGUAAUACCCGAAGUCAGUAGUCUAACCGCAAGGAGGACGCUGCCGAAGGUAGGAUUGGCGACUGGGGUGAAGUCGUAACAAGGUAAC